GACACAUCCACUCCUGACACUUAUCGGGCACCCCCUGCACCAUUGCCUUAUGAUGUUAGUUUGCCAGUUACAGAAAACCCAGAUCUGGAGAAGUCAGAUAUCAAAAGCAAAACAGAUGAUCAGCAGGAAUCUCUGAAGGUGGAUGAAUACGAAUCAUGUG